AUUGAACGCUGGCGGCAGGCCUAACACAUGCAAGUCGAACGGGAACAGGAAACAGCUUGCUGUUUCGCUGGCGGGUGGCGGACGGGUGAGGAAUGUCUGGGAAACUGCCUGAUGGAGGGGGAUAACUACUGGAAACGGUAGCUAAUACCGCAUAACGUCGCAAGACCAAAGAGGGGUACCCUCGGGCCUCUUGCCAUCGGAUGUGCCCAGAUGGGAUUAGCGUGUUGGUGGGGUAACGGCCCGCCAAGGCGACGAUCCCUAGCUGGUCUGAGAGGAUGACCAGCCACACUGGAGCUGAGACACGGUCCAGACUCCUACGGGAGGCAGCAGUGGGGAAUAUUGGACAAUGGGGGCAAGACUGAUGCAGCCAUGCCGCGUGUAUGAAGAAGGCAUUCGGGUUGUAAAGUACUUUUAGCGGGGAGGAAGGGAGUAAAGUUAAUACCUUAGCUCAUUGACGUUACCCGCAGAAGAAGCACCGGCUAACUACGUG
rnacentral:rRNA from 1 species